rnacentral:ncRNA from 2 species
CGGAAAUCCAUAUUGUUGCUUCGUAUAACCCCACUGAUAGGGUGUGGGGGUCUCUACCAGAAUCCGUAAAAUUCUGAUUACGAAGAGUUAAGCGCACGAU